rnacentral:lncRNA from 1 species
UGCUGUUUACAGCAAAUGGGAUCUAGCUCCUGUGAUUCAGUUCUCUGGCUCGUGGUGGGCAUCUAGCAUGCAUAACCCUUUUCUAUAGAGCUGCCAAAGAGGGAACUCACAGGAGCUGAAAUCACUUAGGAGCAGCAGUGUUUAGUGCAGCCACUGGUAGAACACAGUGAGCUGUGCCACCAAGAGUUUGGUGGUAUCCUGUUCUGUUUUGUUGCCUCCUUGAAAAGAAAGUACUUAAUCUCAAAACAUAAUUCUGCACUUCAAAUAUGGGAAGAAGCAUACAUGCUUCAGGAUAUCAGGGGAGAACAAAUCUACAAACUUUCUAAAUGAAAACUGAUCAAAAUGCCAAUAUGCAUCUUAAGACUGGUAUCAGAAUGGAGACCUGUAUCUCCAGGUACAGACCCUCUGAAGGCACUCACAUUAAAUGUUCCCACUUCACCUUAAUGCUUGUUCAGCUGUUUUCCUUGGACAUCUCCAUCUAAAUCUAGCAGGCUACUGCUGUGAGCCAGGUAAAGAAGUUAUACUUGUGAGUAUAAUUUAAAGAAACUACUACCAUAAAUACAACUGCAAGCAAGUUAAGGUUUGUAGAGUCUGUUUACAUUUAUUAACUCAAUGUUUUGCACAAACAUUUAAUGCUCAUAAACUAAUUGCAUCACAUGGGAUUAAUUACUGUAUGAGUAGUCAUGCACCUUCUUUCAGGUCUCUUGUCUGAAUAAAUGUCUUUGGUGUAGUGAUUGGCCCAGACACUAGUUAGGAACACAUCCCCAGGAAAUGGAGAGAGAUGGACAGCCCACAGAGCCAUAAGCUUAUAUAUACAUAUUUAACAGGUUAGUGCUAAUUGUGUUUUACUUCGGUACAUGAAUUGGAAGACAAGUUUCUGGGCUUUCCUUUGAUAGGAGAAUGGCGGGAGAUUGGUCUAAUGCAAAGCUCUAGAAAAACCUUGCAUGCUCACUUGUAAUUUAGUAUUAAUUUGUCUUUUUCCACACUUACAACAAAUGUUUUCUAGGAAAAUACAAAAGCCUCCUAGAAAGGAAGCAAAUCUGAUCUUAGUUUGAUUAAUAUUCUCUUUGCCAGGUUUGUUCCUGAGACUUUGAGAUUACUGCCUUGGUGUAUGAAAUGCCUUUUCCUAUAUUACAAACAUCAGAAGAUACCAAUUACAGAGAAAGGCUGUUUCAAAUGUCCUUGGAAUUAAUUGGAGCACUUACCUAUGCU